CAAACUUAUCAGGGUGAAAAAGUUAGGAAGAAGUGACGGCGGGUGAGCAAUACACGCGAAACAACCGCAGUUUUACGGCGGUAUUUGUGUAAAACUGAAGAAGACAUUUUGUACCACAAUAUUAAUAGUACACUGUACACCUAAAUAUCGUUAUAUAUACUUUAAUACCCUGUAUGUAUAUAACAACAGCCUUCCGUGUAUUGACGUUGUCACACUGACACACAAUGGCACAUAAAAAACAUUGAUGUAAUGUGAUACUGAGGACACGUGAAAACAGGAUGAAACGAAGCAUGCUGCGUUUUUUUCCCAGCAGGCUAUAUCAUCUAGCCACAAGACAUUGAAGAGAGUGCAGAUGGCAAGUGCCUCAUUUCUCAUCUCACAAAUACUUAUGUAAGCUGUUUGGCUAAGAUUCGUCUCUCGUUCCACCACAUCCCAACGGUGCUUUCAGAGGUUGAGAUCUGGUGAC